AGCAGAAAUAAGGAUUAAUUAAUAAUAUACUUUGGCUUUCGAAUGUAGUUUUUAGAAUGUUAGGCGCCAUUGUGAUUUGCGUCAUACUUCUGGCAUUAGAAGUAGAAUACUCAGAGACCAGGCGCCAUGAAUCAAACAUUGCGAAAACUUUAUACCAUUUGAUAUCGAGUGAUGAGUCAUCAUCAUCAUCAUCAUCAUCAUCACAGGAUUCUGAGGAACUAAGAAAAGGUAAUUUAUUAGUAGUAAUUGUAGGUAUUCUGUCAGACUCAUUUUUCACAAGAUUAUUAUGAUAUUAUAUUGUAAUUUUAAUUAUUUCACAGGAAUUGAUAAAUAUUUGAAACAUAUAUGUAAGUCAAUGUUUAUCUUAAUUGUCUCCGCCGAUUUAUUUUUAAAUAAGUUUUAUUUUCAAAAAAAUAUACAAUGGUUGCUACAAAUAUCAUCUUUCCUACUUCACCACAACAUCCUGUUUUUCCAUUUCUUUUGAAAUUUCUCUUAGAACCAUGACUAUAUUUGUGGAUCUUAUUAAAUUAAUAAAACUUCCCAAUUUUUCAGCGAAAAUAGACGAAAAAUUUUACAAAGAAAAAUUCAGAAAGGAAAUAAGUGAGGAAGGUAAGAUUUAAGGAACUAUGUGGGACACAGAAUACAUUGUUGUUAACGAACGGAAAUAUAUUCGAUGUAUUCUGAGUAUCAAAAAGUGUGGAUCUAAAAGGUACCUUGAUCGUAGAAGCUUUGCUAAUAUUUUUUAGGCUAAGAAAAAUUGAACUGUUCAACAAUUUAAAGUCUUAACACUUUAGUGCUCUAAUGUUAUUACAUUUUUCCUGUGUUUUGAUACAUAACAAAGAUCGUCGCCAUAUUGUUUGAGAUAAAAAAAAAUCUUUCAUCUAAAUAAUUAUAAACAUAGUUUUUUAUACACUUCAUUCAUAUAAAUAAUGUGAUGUGUGGUUAAUGUACGAAAGACGGAGUAACUAACACACGAAUUUAAUUUUACGCUAACAGUGUUUAUUGCAGCUAUAAUUCUAAAUCAUGUUGUUUACUUUGGAAAAAAUGUACAGAAAUUAUGAUGUUUAAUUUCUGUAUGAGAUUUAUAUCUUAUUCAUAGGUGAUUCCAUAAAACCGCUAGGUCAGACAUAGGAUGUGAAGAGCUAUCUAGGGUUUGAGAUGUCAAGUAUAAUAGUUGUAAAGCUAUACAUGAGUAAAACCCCGCCGGCAGUCGAGAUUUGGCCAAUAUUUACGAGGGAUGAAUAUUUAAUAAUAUUUUUGUUCACCUAUUAAUAUAUAGAUUACUGGUGGUAGGAUAUAUUUUAUAUCUCUACAAGGUGUUAAAACCUACCAUAGUGGUCCACGUAAGUGUGUCGCGUUCCGGGAUCAGCCUGUGUACAUUUCAACAGGCCGGCAUAACUAUGUCGACUGCUAAGGGACAAUCAUCUCUCGUCAGUCGAAAUUCUAUUGAACCCCACUCCACUUACCCUUAGGUUCAGUGGGAUAGUUUUGCUGUAACCGAAUAAAAAAAAAAUAUGAAUUACAGGCAAUUUAACAAAUUCAUAGGCUGACAAGGCUUUACCCAAAUUCAUUUGUCAAAAUAACCUACAAAGUGACCUCUAACUUUCCUUAUUUAUAAGCCUAGCAUUUUUUCUUACGUAGUUCAUAAUAUUGCAAUCUCGCGCGCGACGGUAGCAUAGACAUCGUUUUAAAUUGAAUUACUUUCGCCUUGCAGAAAAGAAUGAAGAAAAGUUUUAUGAAGAUUUACUGAAAAAAAUAAAAAUGAUUAAUGUUUAAAGAGUAUGGACUUUUAUUUACGCCAAUUUAUACUUACAAAAUGGAACAGAUAAGUAUAAUUAAAAGAAGAUUCCGAUAGGCGCAGCCUAUGUUUUAAUAAAUUAUGAUAUUGCAUACAAAUUGAUUAUAAAUAAAAUAAAUAUCCGUAAUCACGUAGGCGAAAAUAGUUGUGUUUAUGAUAUGCAAAGAGAACUUAUAAGAAGAAUUGUAUACCAAUACUAGGGUAUUUUGCC
rnacentral:lncRNA from 1 species